UCGGGAAUUUUGGGCAAUGGGCGAAAGCCUGACCCAGCAACGCCGCGUGAAGGAUGAAGUAUUUCGGUAUGUAAACUUCGUAAGAAUAGGAAGAGUAAAUGACGGUACUAUUUGUAAGGUCCGGCUAACUACGUGCCAGCAGCCGCGGUAAUACGUAGGGACCAAGCGUUGUUCGGAUUUACUGGGCGUAAAGGGCGCGUAGGCGGUUUGUCAAGUCAGUUGUGAAAUCUCCGAGCUUAACUCGGAACGGUCAACUGAUACUGUCAAACUAGAGUACAGAAGGGGCAAUCGGAAUUCUUGGUGUAGCGGUGAAAUGCGUAGAUAUCAAGAGGAACACCUGAGGCGAAGGCGGGUUGCUGGGCUGAUACUGACGCUGAAGCGCGAAAGCUAGGGUAGCAAACGGGAUUAGAUACCCCCGUAGUCCCUGAGCGGGCUGGCAAGGCGCAU
rnacentral:rRNA from 1 species